rnacentral:rRNA from 1 species
UACGUAGGGGGCGACCGUUGUCCGAAGUUACUGGGCGUAAAGCGCGCGUAGGCGGGUUGGCAAGUCUGCUGUGAAAGCCCGGGGCUUAACUCCGGAGGGUCGGUGGAUACUGCCAGUCUUGAAGGUGCUAGGGAGAGAUGGAAUUACCGGUGUAGCGGUGAAAUGCGUAGAUAUCGGUAGGAACACCAGUGGCGAAGGCGGUCUCUUGGGGCAUUCUUGACGCUGAGGCGCGAAAGCUGGGGGAGCGAACGGG